rnacentral:rRNA from 1 species
AUACGGAGGGUGCAAGCGUUAUUCGGAAUCACUGGACGUAAAGGACGCGUAGGCGGGUUGGCAAGUCAGAUGUGAAAUCCUACAGCUUAACUGUAGAACUGCAUUUGAAACUGCUAACCUAGAGUAGGCGAGGGGGAGAUGGAAUUAGUGGUGUAGGGGUAAAAUCCGUAGAUAUCACUAGGAAUACCGAAAGCGAAGGCGAUCUCCUGGAACAUAACUGACGCUAAGGCGUGAAAGCGUGGGGAGCAAACAGAAGUAGAAACCCUAGUAGUCC